AGGCUUUGUCAUUUGUGUGUGUGUGUAUUCAGAUGUAUUUCCCUUUGGAGAAAUUCUUCCAAGUCCUAAGCAUCCUUCUAUCCCAGCCAAAGCAGCCCUGUCUACGCCCCAGUCACAUCGUGCACACUUCUACUCUCAGCUGUGCCUCUGCCUCUCUGAACCACCUUGCCUUCAGAAGUUCCUUGAAUCUGUCAAAAGCCAGCUGAAGCCAUCUUCCUUCACGAAGCCGCCCCUGAAUUCUCCAGCUUUCCUGGGCCUGGUCUCUCCAUUUGAUUAGGGCACUGUGAGGCACUGCUUCUCACCUGAGAACUUAAAAAUAAUGCAGCCAACAAUGUUUUACAAGACAGCAUUCCAAGAACAGACCACCAAGACUGAAUCUCUUAACUUAUGACAUGGAGAUGAUACAGUCCCUCAUGAGGAUGGUUUUGAAGAUCAAAACUGACAACUGUUAACCGGGUGUAUUGAGGAAAAACAAACAAAUUGGAGACCUCCCCUUAUGCAGUUCGUAUUCAUUACACAGAGUCAAGUAUGGUUCUCUGUAGUGGAUUGGUAGAGCCAAGAGGUGAAGAUGAUGGGAACGAAGGAUAAAAAUGUGUUCAGCAUUUUUGCAAACAUUCUCUGUUACACACAAACACACAA